CGGCUACCCGACGCCGACGCCGAAGCCGCCGGCCAAGGGGCCCAAGCCGGAGAAGCCCCCGACCAAGGGCCACGGCCACAAGCCGGAGAAGCCGCCCAAGGAGCACAAGCCGACUCCGCCCACCUACACCCCGAGCCCCAAGCCCACGCCGCCGCCGGCUACUCCCAAGCCGACGCCGCCCACCUACACGCCGAGCCCUAAGCCCAAGUCGCCGGUCUACCCUCCCCCGCCGAAAGCCAGUACUCCUCCGACCUACACCCCGAGCCCCAAGCCUCCGGCGACCAAGCCGCCUACCUACCCGACCCCCAAGCCACCAGCUACCAAGCCUCCGACACCUCCUGUGUACACUCCGAGCCCCAAACCACCGGUUACAAAGCCUCCUACACCCAAGCCGACCCCGCCGGUGUACACGCCGAACCCCAAGCCACCGGUUACCAAGCCUCCGACACACACGCCGAGCCCCAAGCCUCCGACAUCCAAGCCGACUCCGCCGGUGUACACACCGAGCCCCAAGCCACCGAAGCCGUCCCCGCCGACGUACACGCCGACCCCGAAGCCACCGGCUACCAAGCCGCCCACCUCAACUCCGACGCACCCUAAGCCGACGCCGCACACGCCUAUCCCCAAGCCCACGCCGCCAACCUACAAGCCGGCACCGAAGCCGACGCCGCCGGCGCCCACCCCGCCGACAUACACGCCGCCGGUGUCGCACACCCCCAGCUCGCCGCCGCCGCCGCCGCCGCCGCCUUACUACUAGACGAAGAAGUGAUGAGGUCUCCCACUCUGCUGUCAGUCUCGGAGCAUUUAGGUACGUGCUACAAGAAUGGAGCAUGCACAUACAUACAUACAUACAUACAUUUUCUAUAUAUGCUUGUGUCAAAUGUAUCAUACUGUACUCACUAACAAUCGGUUCCGUUUUUUUGUGUUGCAGAAGGUGAUCGAUCGAAGAGUUUGUGUCCUAGCCAGCCGGCCAAGAUGAGCUGCUGAU
rnacentral:lncRNA from 1 species